UCAAAGGUGAUGCUCCUGAGGAAGUUUUUGGUGGCAGCAGCAAAGUUCCCCAUAGCCUCUGGUUGUCAAAUGUUACAGAGGCUUUAUUAAACGGUAAAUAAGAGAUGCUGUGGAAGGAAAGCUCUAAAGAGAGAGAACUUGGCCAAAAUAGUGCUUCAGAAUGGUCUGUAAAAUAACAGAUAUGUUGUUUACUAUUUUUUGCAAGCAGUGGGGAAGAAAAAAACCAACAUUUCAUCCACCAAGAAGGAUUAUGGCAGCUGAAAUUAUUGACUUGCUGAUCAGCCUGGGAGUUUUCCUACAACUCCUGUCUAAUUGCUGCACUAAAGGUUUGCAAAACAGCCUUUUCCAAGCUGAAGAGCCAAAGAUUGUAGCAGCACGGAGCCCUCUCCAUACAGCACUUCUACAUAGAAUUGGUGUGUACAUAUAAAUCAACAUUAACACCUUUCUGCGUUGUGCAAUCCCUGGCAUUCUCAGCACAGUAGAUAUAUGGGCUACUUAGACUAUAUUGUAUAAGUUUGGAAGCAAUUAAACUCUUUAAUUAUA